AGGACGAACGCUGGCGGCGUGCUUAACACAUGCAAGUCGAGCGGAAAGGCCCUUCGGGGUACUCGAGCGGCGAACGGGUGAGUAACACGUGAGCAACCUGCCCUCAGCUCUGGGAUAGCUCCCGGAAAACGGGAAUUAAUACCGGAUACGACCCCAACUGACAUCGGUCAGGGUGGAAAGGAUUCCGGCUGAGGAUGGACUCGCGGCCUAUCAGCUAGUUGGUGGAGUAACGGCCCACAAGGCGACGACGGGUA
rnacentral:rRNA from 1 species